rnacentral:rRNA from 1 species
GACGAACGCUGGCGGCGUGGAUUAGGCAUGCAAGUCGAACGGUAUCAUCCUUUCGGGGGUGAGAGAGUGGCGAACUGGUGAGUAACACGUAGGUUAUCUACCCUCAAGACGGGGACAACCCAGGGAAACUUGGGCUAAUACCGGAUGUGAGCAACUUUUAGUUGUUUGAAAGGUGGCGUAAGCUGUCGCUUGGGGAUGAGCCUGCGUCCUAUUAGUUAGUUGGUGAGGUAACGGCUCACCUAGGCAAUGAUAGGUAGGCGGCCUUAACGGGUGGUCGCCCACACUGGGAUUGAGAUACGGCCCAGACUCCUACGGGAGGCAGCAGUCGAGAAUAGUCUACAAUGGUCGGAAGACUGAUAGUGCGACGCCGCGUGAACGAUGAAUCCCUUCGGGGUGUAAAGUUCUUUUAUAUGUGAGCAGUGCUUCUUAUAUUAACAGUAAUGGGGGAGAAGAGAUUAGUUAGACUAUAGUAGUAAAUAAGACGAACGGACUUAACCGUCCGGUCGCCGAGCGACGCCGGACGGUUAAUCGUUACG